rnacentral:rRNA from 1 species
CCCUUAGAUGUUCUGGGCCGCACGCGCGCCACACUGAAGGGAUCAGCGUGUUUUCCCUUUCCGAGAGGAACGGGUAACCCGCUGAACCCCCUUCGUGGUAGGGAUCGGAGCUUGCAAUUGUUCUCCGUGAACCAGGAAUUCCCAGUAAGCGCAAGUCAUAAGCUUGCGUUGAUUACGUCCCUGCCCUUUGUACACACCGCCCGUCGCUACUACCGAUUGAACGUUUUAGUGAGGUAUUUGGACUGGGCCUUGGGAGGUUUCGGCCUCCCUUGUUGCUCGGAAAGACUCCCAAACUUGAGCGUUUAGAGGAAGUAAAAGUCGUAACA